GAUGAAGAACGUAGCGAAAUGCGAUAAGUAAUGUGAAUUGCAGAAUUCAGUGAAUCAUCGAAUCUUUGAUCGCACAUUGCGCCCCUUGGUAUUCCGAGGGGCAUGCCUGUUCGAGCGUCAUUAUAACCCCUCAAGCUCAGCUUGGUGUUGGGGCCUGCUGCACUGGCAGCCCUUAAAAUCAGUGGCGGCGCCAUCUGGCUCUAAGCGUAGUAAUUCUUCUCGCUAUGGAGUCCUGGUGGAUGCUUGCCAUCAACCCCCAAUUUUUCUAUGGUUGACCUCGGAUCAGGUAGGGAUACCCGCUGAACUUAAGCAUAUCAAUAAGCGGAGGA
rnacentral:misc_RNA from 1 species